GAUGAACGCUGGCGGCGUGCCUAAUACAUGCAAGUCGAGCGAACGGACGAGAAGCUUGCUUCUCUGAUGUUAGCGGCGGACGGGGGAGUAACACGUGGAUAACCUACCUAUAAGACUGGGAUAACUUCGGGAAACCGUAGCUAAUACCGGAUAAUAUUUUGAACCGCAUGGUUCAAAAGUGAAAGACGGUCUUUCUGUCACUUAUAGAUGGAUCCGCGCUGCAUUAGCUAGUUGUUAAGGUAACGGCUUACCAAGGCAACGAUGCAUAGCCGACCUGAGAGGGUGAUCGGCCACCCUGGAGCUGCGACACGGUCCAGACUACUACGGGAGGCAGCAGUAGGGAAUCUUCCGCAAUGGGCGAAAGCCUGACGGAGCAACGCCGCGUGAGUGAUGAAGGUCUUCGGAUCGUAAAACUCUGUUAUUAGGGAAGAACAUAUGUGUAAGUAACUGUGCACAUCUUGACGGUACCUAAUCAGAAAGCCACGGCUAACUACGUG
rnacentral:rRNA from 1 species